CUGCAUCGCCCUUGUUGGGCGUUUCCUCCCUAGACUCAGGCCGCUUUCGAAGCGGCCUUUUUUCUGCCAGAU
rnacentral:sRNA from 1 species